AGCAGCCGCGGUAAUUCCAGCUCCAAUAGCGUAUAUUAAAGUUGUUGCAGUUAAAAAGCUUGUAGUUGAAUUUCGGGGUUAGUAGGUCGGUCAUGCCACUGGUAUGUACUGGUCUCACUGAUUCCUCCUUCCUGAUGAACCGUAAUGCCAUUAAUUUGGUGUUGCGGGGAGACUGGACUGUUACUUUGAAAAAAUUAGAGUGUUUAAAGCAGGCUAACGCUUGAAUACAUUAGCAUGGAAUAAUGAAAUAGGACGUUCGAUCCUAUUUUGUUGGUUUCUAGGAUUGACGUAAUGAUUAAUAGGGAUAGUUGGGGGCAUUAGUAUUCAAUUGUCAGAGGUGAAAUUCUUGGAUUUAUUGAAGACUAACUACUGCGAAAGCAUUUGCCAAGGAUGUUUUCAUUAAUCAAGAACGAAAGUUAGGGGAUCGAAGACGAUCAGAUACCGUCGUAGUCUUAACCAUAAACUAUGCCGACUAGGGAUCGGAUGAUGUUAAUUUUUUAAUGACUCAUUCGGCGCCUUA
rnacentral:rRNA from 1 species